rnacentral:misc_RNA from 1 species
UCUCUGGUCAUGUGGCUAGGCAAUGAGCUUGAAUUAAUUUCCUCCGUGUCCACCGUGGGUGAGCUUGCUGUAAGAAACUGUUCCCAGAACACAUCAUUAAUGCCAGGAAGCUUAGGUAUCCCAUCCAUCAAAAUAUCUGUGUCCUGAUUCGAAGAAAAUGCAUCAGUUUCUUCAGAAGUUGCUACAUCCAAGACAGAUGGCAUUGGAUUGAUGUCCUCGCCAUCCCCAUUCGUUGGAUUGACAAAAUUUGUAUUAGGAAUUCCAGUAGAGCUUUCU